rnacentral:lncRNA from 1 species
CCUUGUAAAUUAGGGCUCAGAGGCUUGUAUCACUUUUAUGAGUAUCAAAACCCUAGUUACACCGUAAACACAUAAAACCGAGCAUCAUCAGAUUAGAAACAUCGAAAAUUCAGAAACAAAACAACAAAUGAAGAAACUUUAAAAGAAAAACAAAAUCAAAACAAUUACUAAAAGGAAUAUUUGAAACCAAAAAGGGGCUACGGGAAACUUUUCUAAGGGCGGUGACGUCAAUUCAAUUUCCUGUUGAAACAGUGAGGAUCUAAAUUAGAGAUUAGGUGUUUGGGAUUGGAAAUUGUUGAUGAAAAGAAGUGAUUUUUCUUGUUUAGGGUUAUUGUUACGAGUGUACCGCGAAGAAGAACGGAGAGAAAGAUUGCGUGUGACGACUGACGAGUGGACGGCAGAAGAAGAUUGAGAUCGACAGUCUAUGAUUCCU